UGUCGGUGCAGAAGGAGCUGACUUUGUGGUUUCCGGGCAGGGCUUCCACCAGGACACAAGCAGUGGGGAGGCUGGGGAGACAGACAGGGCGCGACCCAGGCGAGCAGAGGGAAGUGUGGAGGUGGACUCCGGGUUGACGCCGAGGGAGCUGACGUCGGUUUCCCACGAGGGCUGUCAUGAGGUCUGCAGUGGACGCGUGGUUGCCUCUUCACCAAGACCCCACAGACCAACAGGACCAAGCCUUCCCAGUGACCCUGGAGUCACCAGCCCUCUGCAGGUUCAGCUGCCGGCUCCGUGGGGACACUCGUCCUGCCCCUCAUCCCCGUGAUGUCCCUGUCCUCAUUAAGCACACCCCAGCCCACCUGCCCGUCCAGGUGUGAUGGCUGGAGCGGCAGUCACCACCUUGAGGCCUGGAGGGAAAAGUCUGACACUUUGGAAAUGCUGAACCAGUGCCAGCCUCCACCCGUCUGUGAACAUCUCAUUCAGUUCAGUUCAGUCACUCAGUCGUGUCCGACUCUUUGCCACCCCAUGAACCACAGCAUGCCAGGCC